CAAACGGCAAUGACGAGGAAAAGUAAUGAGACGAUGUUAUAUAGAGAGCUUCUGUUGGUGGAAAUGAAGCAAACUAGUCUGAUGAACAUGAUCUCCGAGCUUUGCACUGAAAAUCCGCGGAUGAGUAGGCUGCAACAAGAUUUGGCACUUGUUACAAAUGUCAAAGUAUACUCGCAGGAUUUGUAGCGACGUACUUACUAAGACAAGUGGCGUGAGCUAUUUGUGAACUAAGGUGGUACCACGAGUGAAAUAUUAACCUCGUCCUUAUC
rnacentral:ncRNA from 1 species